rnacentral:lncRNA from 1 species
GUAAAUGGUUAAUAUACCAAAGCAUAUAAUCUUUCGUGUUGUUUUAAAAUUUCUAACCACAUUCUACAUUUGUAUUAAUGUAUUCUAAACUCUAUUUCGUGGUACAUGGGCAUCGUUCUCUUUUUUUAAUCAAUUAAUUUAGUAAAACUUCAUAUGCUCCCUAAAUCAGAGGACAAACCCCAAUAAAAUCGCUAUUCUAGAGAAACAGAGACAACAAAGGUUCCAAACCUCUCUAACAAUCAUCAUAUUUUAGUUCAUGAUACAACUAUGAAUUAAAAAAAAAUAUUUUCAUUUUUUUGAAUUUUUCUCAAAUUUUGUGUGUUAACCCCUACAAAAUAUUUAGUUUUUCGGUAAAUAGUUAAUAUACCGACGCAUAUAAUCUUUAGUGUUGUUUUAAAAAUUCUGACCACAUUCUACGUUUACAUUAAUGUAUUAUAAACUCUAUUUUAUAGUACAUGGGCAUCGUUCUCAUUUUUUAAUCAAUUAAUUUAGUAAAACUUCAUAUGUUCCCUAAAUUAGUGGACAAACCCCAAUAAAAUCGUUAUUCUAGAGAAACGGAGAAAACAAAGGUUCAAAACCUCUCUAAC